rnacentral:rRNA from 2 species
GUGGGAACAUACCCUUUUCUACGGAAUAGCUCUGGGAAACUGGAAUUAAUACCGUAUACGCCCUACGGGGGAAAGAUUUAUCGGGGAAGGAUUGGCCCGCGUUGGAUUAGCUAGUUGGUGGGGUAAAGGCCUACCAAGGCGACGAUCCAUAGCUGGUCUGAGAGGAUGAUCAGCCACAUUGGGACUGAGACACGGCCCAAACUCCUACGGGAGGCAGCAGUGGGGAAUAUUGGACAAUGGGCGCAAGCCUGAUCCAGCCAUGCCGCGUGAGUGAUGAAGGCCUUAGGGUUGUAAAGCUCUUUCACCGAUGAAGAUAAUGACGGUAGUCGGAGAAGAAGCCCCGGCUAACUUCGUGCCAGCAGCCGCGGUAAUACGAAGGGGGCUAGCGUUGUUC